rnacentral:lncRNA from 1 species
CGGAGCGGGCUCUCACCGUCAGCCGGGGCCAGUAAGAGGGAUCAGUAAGUAAAGGCCUUGCUGCCAAGCCUGAUGGCAAGUUCCAUCCCCAGGUCCCACAUAGUGGAAGGAGAGAACCAACUCCUGAAACUCAUGACCAAAGAGCCCAGUACGGAGAGACAGAAGGCCCAGCGGCCCUUCACAUAGGCCUUUGGUCCCUUGAGAAUUCCCUUUCUUGGGCCAGCCGGUAAAGUUGGUUGCUGUACAUCCUGAUGGCCUGAGUUAUACCUUGCCAAAACCCACGUGGUGGAAAUAGAAAACCAAACUCACCGAAGCUGUCCUCUGACCUCCACCUAUGUGCCACGGCACACACAAAAAACCAAUUCUCUUCUUGCUCUCCUGUGCUGGCGGAUAAUGUCACAUUUCUGGGAGGCUUUUUCAUGAUUUCACUACUAUAAAGAAUCAUUACAACCU